rnacentral:rRNA from 1 species
AACCAGAAGGCGCAAUGAAAGUGAAGGCACGGUCGCCGUGCUGAGGUGAGAGCCGGCCCCGACGGGACGGCGCAUCAUUGACCGAUCCCAACCGCACUGCUCGCAGUGUGGCGGGAUUCGAGUGAGAGUGUACCUGUUGCGACCCGAAAGAUGGUGAACUAUGCCUGAAUAGGGUGAAGCCAGAGGAAACUCUGGUGGAGGCCCGUAGCGAUUCUGACGUGCAAAUCGAUCGUCAAAUUUGGGUAUAGGGGCGAAAGACUAAUCGAACCAUCUAGUAGCUGGUUCCCUCCGAAGUUUCCCUCAGGAUAGCUGUAGCCCAAAGCAGUUUUAUCAGGUAAAGCGAAUGAUUAGAGGUAUCGGGGAAGAAACUUCCUCGACCUAUUCUCAAACUUUAAAUAGGUAAGAAGUCCGACUUGCUUAAUUUGAAGCCGGACACAGAAUGCUGGGUUACUAGUGGGCCAUUUUUGGUAAGCAGAACUGGCGAUGCGGGAUGAACCGAACGCAGAGUUAAGGUGCCAAAGUCGACGCUCAUCAGAUCCCACAAA